CCAAGAACAUUUCCAGACUUCCCCAGCUGUGAGCAGAUGUCUCCUCUCCCAAUAAGCAGCACAAACCAUGAAACAACUUUUCAAGAUUCUUGACCAUGGCUUACACGCUACCCCAACCUGCAGAAGAACACAGUUUCCAGCUUCAAGCGGGCUUUCCCAUUCCAUCAAUCUCCACCGGCCCAUGCGUGUGUUUUGUGGCAUCCCCAGGACCAGAUGGAUGAGCCUCUGAAGGAACUAAUGAAGGAUCCAGGCCCAAGGGAAGAGGGACAAUGCGCAGCUCUACACGGAGAAAAUUGUUCAGAACUUUCAUUGUCUAAAAACGCUAAUGCACUAAUUUAAGAGAACUAAAGGCUUUGGAUAAAAUAACUGAGCCUGCACUUGACAUUUGUCCUAUUGUGAUUUUCCUCAUCUGAAAACUCGUUAUGAAAGAUUUCUUUUUCUGCCACAUAAAAAUUACACCCCUUCUCCUUUCCCAGCUGUAUACAUGGAUCUCCCAAAUCCAGCCGGAGGCAGGAGGUUCAACACAGGAGGCAAUAUCACUGUGAACUAUAUUCAGACCAGUACCCAAGAGGUAUUAGGAAUAGUGAAGGCUAACAGCAUCCUAGCAGAAAAAAAAAUCUCAUGAGUUGUUUUUGUUUUUUUUAACAUUCAGCCAUGUGGAGUAAUACUGCUGUGUCAGGGGAUUUUAUCAGCAACAUCCAAUGUUUUUCCACUAUGCUUUAA